rnacentral:rRNA from 1 species
AGCAGCCGCGGUAAUUCCAGCUCCAAUAGCGUAUAUUAAAGUUGUUGCAGUUAAAAAGCUCGUAGUUGAAUUUCGGAAUUUGUCGGUUGGUCGGGCUUCACUGUCCGCACUGACCUGAUGAAUUCCUACCUUCUGAAUAACCAGCAUGCUAUUAAGUUAGUGCGUUGGGGAAGCAGAGCUAUUACCUUGAAAAAUUAGAGUGCUUAAAGCAGGCUUGUGCUUGAAUAGAUUAGCAUGGAAUAAUAAAAUAGGACGGCAUGGUUCUAUUUUGUUGGUUUCUAGGAUCACCGUAAUGAUUAAUAGGGAUAGUUGGGGGCAUUAGUAUUCAAUUGUCAGAGGUGAAAUUCUUGGAUUUAUUGAAGACUAACUUCUGCGAAAGCAUUUGCCAAGGAUGUUUUCAUUAAUCAAGAACGAAAGUUAGGGGAUCGAAGACGAUCAGAUACCGUCGUAGUCUUAACCAUAAACUAUGCCGACUAGGGAUCGGACGAUGUUAAUUUUUAAUGACUCGUUCGCG